CUUUUUGCCUCCAAAAUGAUGUGUCAGAAUUGCUAUACAUGUCAGAAUGCAUCCUAAAGUUGAAGUCUACUAGUAUUUCUACACAACCAACACAGUGAAACUAACCUCAGAGUAUUCCCACCCUUAAGAUUACAAUGCUUCUAACAUCUGACGCUGUCUAAAACCUGACUCCUGGAAAACUGGACUGUUGUUCGUCUGAAGAGAUUCAAAGAAGUGGGCAACGAAGAAUCUUUAAAGGAACCUUUAUAUAGUUUCAUGUUUAUAUCAGAGACACCAAUGAAUACUUAUUGUUGUUAUCAUUAGCAUUGCUAACCAUUUAUAAAUUUUAUAUUUCAUCGAGGA